UGCUCAACUCUCGAGCAAUGUUUGGCGGACAAGUUGCCGUUGGACUUAAUUAUCAGGUCCUGAAUGAUGGUACAUUGAUGAUUUGUACUCCCUCCUGUCUGGCCAAAGUGCUGCACUCAUAACAGGGGAAAGCAGAAUUUGUGAGGAUCACUGCUACUCCCCUCGUCUCAGACUUUCACAACAUGACCAACACAGUGAGAGACUCAUCAAAGUGUUGAAGAAGGAGGGAGGCUCAGCAGGGAGGACAAUUAGACUGCUGCUGGUCCCAGUUGCAGAGAAUGAAACGGUUGAAAAGAGGAGGGAGUGCAUCCUCUGGGCCCUUUGUAUCUACCUGAAUGAAGACCCAGACAUCCUGUUCAAAGGCUUUGUGGAUGCUGCAGUUGCUCAGAGGGAGCUUAAACAGCUCAUCAGUGGCAUCUACAGCAUCAGUGUCGAGGGAGGUGAUGCCACCACUCCUCCAGCGGACGCUGAAAUAGUGAUCAAGGGUGCUAAAGUUCUGCGCGAGUUGGGAGACAUCGCCUCUGCGUGUGCACUCUUAAUGGGUGUAAUACGCACUGAACCUCAGUUAUCCUCAGGAACUGAAAGGCUUUUUUUGAAGUACUUCAGAAGCUCUUCCUUCAAAGUCUUCAACAAGGUACAGAUGCUCAAGAACAAACCGUAUGAAUGAGCCAACCACUGAUUUGAUGUUCUGUGAAAAAAGCAAAAUUACAUUUUUUGGCUGAAACAGAAUAAAAUUAUUGGCUGUUUGAAAAUUGCAGAGCAGGGGGAAAUUACACUCAUAAAAAUGAUUUUCUAUUUCUUCUGGAAAACUACUACCAUCCCCACCAGGGCGACAUGACUGCACCAAAAACAACUGCAAGGGAAUUGGAUUGUCGGAGCAUGUUGCUUAUCCUGACAACUUAAAAACAAACACCACUUUAUCAGAGUGCUGCUGCAAGACUAGG